rnacentral:sRNA from 1 species
AGGGAAAAUAGGUGGAAAUUCAAAAAUCAAGUGAAAAAAGGUGGUGAGUCAAUUGUUUUGGGUAAGAGACUGCACCCGAGGGUGGAAGAUAGGAGUAUUUCUACUCCUAAUACUGCUCAGGACAGUUUGUAGAUAGUCGAGUAGGACGAGAACU